rnacentral:rRNA from 1 species
UACAGAGGUCUCAAGCGUUGUUCGGAUUCAUUGGGCGUAAAGGGUGCGUAGGCGGCGUGGUAAGUCGGGUGUGAAAUCUCGGAGCUUAACUCCGAAACUGCAUUCGAUACUGCCGUGCUUGAGGACUGGAGAGGAGACUGGAAUUUACGGUGUAGCGGUGAAAUGCGCAGAUAUCAGGAAGAACACCUAUGGCGAAGGCAGCUCUCUGGGACGGUACUGACGCUGAGACGCGAAAGCGUGGGGAGCGAACAGG